UAUACGCGCUCUCCGCGACUUGGCAUCGGCGUCUCCGCGAGGACUCUCAGCACGCGCGAAGCCCGUCACCCUCCUUCUCCCGCGUGCGCGAAGGCGGUCGAUCUCCUUCUCCCGCGCGUGCGCCCGUCGGUCUCCUUCUUCUCUGCUAGGGUUGAGCAAUUGAUGGGAAGCCAGACCUGCAGCAAUUUUGUUUCUCUGCCCAUGUUGAUGGCCGGCUGGAGGCCGGAGUUCACGAUGAUUUUCUGACCAGAACAAGAUCAAUCGGCAUUGGAGUAGAUGCUGACCUGAUGGGAGGAGCAGAUGGCCGGCCGGAGUAGAUGAUGGCCACCGGCGUUGGAGUCCGCAGCGGCUGAUCAGGCGACGGGGCGACGGCGCGGCGCACGAUGGGAGACGCGACGGGAGGAACGGCGACGGGAUGUGAAGUGGCAGUAGUUGAUUCGGGCCCAGUAGCUGAGCAUAUGUGGGCCUGUUUUUUAAUUUUACUAAGUCAAAAUGGCAAACUCUUGAAGAUAGUCUUCUUUUUAACUUGGCAUAUAUUUUAGCAAGUUGCCAAAUCACAAGUUUUGCCAAAUUAAUUUUGGUAAACUCUUGAAGAUGCUCUAAGCCUUUGUUUAGUUCCAUCCAAAAUUUCAAAACUUUA